AUUGAACGCUGGCGGCAGGCCUAACACAUGCAAGUCGAGCGGAUGAAGGGAGCUUGCUCCUGGAUUCAGCGGCGGACGGGUGAGUAAUGCCUAGGAAUCUGCCUGGUAGUGGGGGAUAACGUCCGGAAACGGGCGCUAAUACCGCAUACGUCCUGAGGGAGAAAGUGGGGGAUCUUCGGACCUCACGCUAUCUGAUGAUCCUAGGUCGGAUUAGCUAGUUGGUGGGGUAAAGGCCUACCAAGGCGACGAUCCGUAACUGGUCUGAGAGGAUGAUCAGUCACACUGGAACUGAGACACGGUCAAGACUCCUACGGGAGGCAGCAGAGGGGAAUAUUGGACAAUGGGCGAAAGCCUGAUCCAGCCAUGCCGCGUGUGUGAAGAAGGUCUUCGGAUUGUAAAGCACUUUAAGUUGGGAGGAAGGGCAGUAAGUUAAUACCUUGCUGUUUUGACGUUACCAACAGAAUAAGCACCGGCUAACUUCGUG
rnacentral:rRNA from 1 species